GGCUGGUCUGAUGCUAGUGGGUUAUCAGAACUUAUUAACAUUAGUGUCACUAAAGUUGGUAUACAACGCCUUAUUGCUAAAUUUGACUGGCUUUAA
rnacentral:Y_RNA from 1 species